rnacentral:lncRNA from 1 species
GUCCUUUAGAGUUUUUGGGCCUUAACGUAAAAACGUAAACUUUUGGGCCAAAAUGCAAAUACACAAAAGUAUCAAAACUUUAUGUAAUUGCACAAAAGGUGAAAUUGAUGGUUUGUAAGAAAAUGUUUUGUAAAACAUUAAAGAGUUUUGUCAAACAUUAAAGCCAACAUUAAUGCUUCACCAAUAACCAUCACCCAUCAAAAUUAAACCAAAACUUUAUGAAAAACAUAAAACUUUUGAAUCAAAACUUCAAACCUUUUUGUUCUUGGCAAGAACUUCAAGAACAUUGAAGAACACCAUGAAAACUCAUAAUAGCUCCAUGAAUGUUUUUCACUCACCAAAACUCAAUUGUUCACCACUCAAAAGAGGGCUAAUAUCCUAGGGUACUUAGGGGUUCCAAAAGUCACUUUAAAACCAUUUUAACAAGACAAACAUGAACCAAAAAAUCACCCUUUGGAUUUGCCGAAUUUCCCAACAUACAUGGCACCAAAUUUUAGUUCCAAUAUUCAUGCUUAAAUGAAAUACAUCUACAACAUUUGAGAUGCUAAAUUUUCAAGCAAAAUUUAUAUUCAAAAGCAAGAACAAAGCUUGUAACAUUUACAACAUUUAAAUCACAAAACCCAAAAGGAUUCACCAUAAACUAGGCCUAGGCUCUGAUACCACUUGAAGAAAAAAUUGUGUCCUAGCUAAGAACAUGUAAGAACAUUUGAAUACAUAUGCAAACUAUUAACACUUUAAAGAUCAAGGACCUAACCAUUAGACAUCUAUGAUGCCUCAGGUCAAAGGACUACUUUGCAUAUUGCAACUAUCGAGUUCUUACAUGACAUGUAUGUUCGAACUCUCUUUUGAUCGUUGUUCAGUGUACUCGAUUACUCUUUCGAGCACUUAUGUGUUUGUCUUAGUGUCCAACAUUAAAUGACUUAAGACUAGUCAUACUCACGCUUGAGUCAACAUAACACAUACUAACCUUAGCGGAUUGUCAAUGCCCAAUUGGCAAUCCUAUGGCUAGGAACGUUUUAGGAAUGAACAUAAGAGAAAGGUCUCGAUAAUCUAACUCACUUAGAUCACUUAUCUCUUAGAUCAAAUACAUUCCUUGGAUUCCCUUAUUGCUUAAACACAUGAUACAAUAAAUAGUGAUUAACAAUAAGCUUUGCCCUUCAUUAAACAUAUAAACGUUUAAUACAAUAAGUAUUCCAAAAGCUAUUACAUCAAAUGAGUGGCUUUGUGGGCAUACUUCCAACACAAGUGUUAAGCUUCAGCCGUUCGGCAUCCUAUGUAACAUAGACUAUUUGGCAUAAAUUCAAUAAAGAGGUGAUUUAGACAACUCGAUCCUAAUCCUCUUACAUUCCUAGCAAUGAAACACUUGGGUUCAAAGCCUCAACACGAAUGCUUCCAACAUGAAACAGAGUCUAAGUAUAUGUCAACAAGACUAUACAAAUAAACGAACAGCUUCACAGUAUAUUCGUUCAAUCAUACAUUUCAACACAUUCAUACAUAAGCCAGAUGUGCUUUGAAAGGGUUCAACAUAUUUUGUGUCAUUCGGCAGUUGCUACAAUGUGCCUAGACACCUUACCCUUAUUCUCACCAACCAGGUGAUGAAAUGUGAAGAAGAAACUCAUCUUCAUGCCACCAACCAGGUGAUCAAAUGUGCAACCAUACUCUCCUUCAUGCCACCAACCAGGUGAUGAAAUGUACAACCCGUACUCUAAUAUCAUUUAGCAACUUGCCACUCAUGCCACCAACCAGGUGAAAAGGAACUUAUCUUCAUGCCACCAACCAGGUGAUGAAAUGUACAACCCGUACUCUCCUUCAUGCCACCAACCAAUAAUGAAAUGUACAACCCGUACUCUAAUAUCAUUUGGAAACUUGCCACUCAUGCCACCAACCAAGGGAAGAAGGAACUCAUCUUCAUGCCACCAACCAAGUGAUGAAAUGUACAACCUAUACUCUCAUUCAUGCCACCAACCAGGUGAUGAAAUGUACAACUCGUACUCUAAUAUCAUUUGACAACUUGCCAUUCAUGCCACCAACCAGGGGAAGAAGGAACUCAUCUUCGUGCCACUAACUAGGUGAUGAAAUGUGAUGAAAGGUGAUGAAGGAACUCACCUUCGUACCACCAACCAAGUGAUGAAAGAAACUCACCAUUCAUUCCACCUACCAGAAGACGAGUGG